rnacentral:rRNA from 1 species
UUAGUAGCCAGCAGGUAGAGCUGGGCACUCUAGGGAGACUGCCGGGGAUAACCCGGAGGAAGGCGGGGACGACGUCAAAUCAUCAUGCCCCUUAUGAUUUGGGCUACACACGUGCUACAAUGGCGUAAACAAAGGGAAGCGAGACAGCGAUGUUGAGCAAAUCCCAAAAAUAACGUCCCAGUUCGGACUGCAGUCUGCAACUCGACUGCACGAAGCUGGAAUCGCUAGUAAUCGCGAAUCAGAAUGUCGCGGUGAAUACGUUCCCGGGUCUUGUACUCACCGCCCGUC